GCGCCCGUAGCUCAGCUGGAGAGAGCACCGGAUUUCUAAUCCGGCGGUCGCAGGUUCGAGUCCUGCCGGGCGCGCCA
rnacentral:tRNA from 1 species